rnacentral:rRNA from 1 species
UGGGGAAUUUUGGACAAUGGGCGCAAGCCUGAUCCAGCCAUGCCGCGUGCGGGAAGAAGGCCUUCGGGUUGUAAACCGCUUUUGUCAGGGAAGAAAUCUUCUGAGUUAAUACCUCGGGAGGAUGACGGUGCCUGAAGAAUAAGCACCGGCUAACUACGUGCCAGCAGCCGCGGUAAUACGUAGGGUGCAAGCGUUAAUCGGAAUUACUGGGCGUAAAGCGUGCGCAGGCGGUUUUGUAAGACAGAGGUGAAAUCCCCGGGCUCAACCUGGGAACUGCCUUUGUGACUGCAAGGCUUGAGUGCGGCAGAGGGGGAUGGAAUUCCGCGUGUAGCAGUGAAAUGCGUAGAUAUGCGGAGGAACACCGAUGGCGAAGGCAAUCCCCUGGGCCUGCACUGACGCUCAUGCACGAAAGCGUGGGGAGCAAACAGGAUUAGAUACCCUGGUAGUCCACGCCCUAAACGAUGUCAACUGGUUGUUGGGAAGGUUCCUUCUUAGUAACGUAGCUAACGCGUGAAGUUGACCGCCUGGGGAGUACGGCCGCAAGGUU